UUAGAGGAAGUAAAAGUCGUAACAAGGUUUCCGUAGGUGAACCUGCGGAAGGAUCAUUAUUGAAUACACAAUGACUGUUGCUGGCUAGGUCAUUCUAGCAUGUGCACGUCUACACUCUCCACACCUGUGCACCAAUUGUAGAUAACCCUCGAAAGAGGAUUCUAUGUCUUUAAUAAUCUCAUCUAUUGUAUGUCCUUAGAAUGUAACAAAAAAAAUUAUACAACUUUCAGCAACGGAUCUCUUGGUUCUCGCAUCGAUGAAGAACGCAGCGAAUUGCGAUAAGUAAUGUGAAUUGCAGAUUUUCAGUGAAUCAUCGAAUCUUUGAACGCACCUUGCGCUCCUUGGUAUUCCGAGGAGCAUGCCUGUUUGAGUGUCAUUUAAUUAUCAACCAAAAGUCUUCAUUGGCUUUUGGCUUGGACUUGGGAUUUGCUGGCCUAGUCAGCUGUCCUUAAAAGCAUUAGCAAGUGAAGUAGACGUGCACGGCCUCUGACGUGAUAAUGAUCGUCGUGGGCUGGAAGCGUCAUAAUGAAGCUUGCUUAAAUUAAUCUCUAUUACCAUUUUGACCUCAAAUCAGGUAGGACUACCCGCUGAACUUAAGCAUAUCAAUAA
rnacentral:rRNA from 1 species